rnacentral:lncRNA from 1 species
UUUUGGUGAGGGGCAAGCCACACACUUCUUGUUUUCCUUCUCUGUAUUCCUCCCAAGAGCCCUUUCUGAACUCCUGGGGUGAAAAAGAAAAUAGUCUGAGAUGGCGUUAUUCUGUUUAAGCAAAGCCUUGACUGUGUGUGGGAGGCACGCCUCAAGCCAUCACCGGAUGGAGUGGUGAAAACUGGGUUUACUGCAUGUCAAGAACAAGCAAAAGGGAAAUGACCCUGGACUAGAAGAACAAAGUGGUCACACAGGAAGUUACUUGAAAUAUUUGGGAUGUUUCCAAAACAAAACUGCUACAACCAAAACAAGGUGAAUACAGCCAACUAUUUACUGAAGUGCUUUGUUCGUCAUGCUUGAAACUACCAGUUCAUCUAAGGAACCAACCACCAGUAUGGUCCAUCAUGAAAAUAAUAUCAAGAAUGAUUGGCUGCUCCUACCACUUCCACAGCUGUGAACAGCCCAGAUGUUCUCUCCUGAGAAGCCUUAUCUCAUAAGGGUUAUGUUCCUUACAGAAUGAGUCAUUCUUUUCCAUUCCCUGAAAUAUUAUUUGAACACAACAAACCUAAUCAUUUUUCAAAUCCUUGUACAACCCUUCAGUACAACUCUUUUAAAUGCUAAAUUGAACAAUUGAUGGAAGGCAGAAUUAGACUGCCUAUCAUGGAGGAUACAUGGACCAAUGGUCCUUCUUGCCCUGCCCUGGUAAGCUAGGUAUGGGUGGUUUACUAGCUCUAACUAGUAGGAUCAGGCUUGAAUCUUUGAACUCUAGAGAGGUGAGGGAGAGAUCAAAAGAUUGUAGAGACAGUCUCCAUGGUGGCAGUGGUGGGAGUUCAGUAGAAAAGAUAACAUCAAGAAUUCGCUGGCUGUGUCCAAGGUUGUUGGCAUCAACAACCCUGCAGUAGUAGUUCUGGCAUUGUGACCCUGAGAGAGUGUCCCCAAAGUGUUAC